AUUGAACGCUGGCGGCAUGCUUUACACAUGCAAGUCGAACGGCAGCGGGGACUUCGGUCCGCCGGCGAGUGGCGAACGGGUGAGUAAUGCAUCGGAACGUGCCUAUCAGUGGGGGAUAACGCUUCGAAAGGGGUGCUAAUACCGCAUAUUCUCCGAGGAGGAAAGCAGGGGACCUUCGGGCCUUGCGCUGAUAGAGCGGCCGAUGUCGGAUUAGCUAGUUGGUGAGGUAAAGGCUCACCAAGGCGACGAUCCGUAGCGGGUCUGAGAGGAUGAUCCGCCACACUGGGACUGAGACACGGCCCAGACUCCUACGGGAGGCAGCAGUGGGGAAUUUUGGACAAUGGGCGAAAGCCUGACCCAGCCAUGCCGCGUGAGUGAAGAAGGCCUUCGGGUUGUAAAGCUCUUUUGUCCGGGAGGAAAUCCUGGCCUCUAAUACAGGUCGGGGAUGACAGUACUGGAAGAAUAAGCACCGGCUAACUACGUGCCAGCCGCUGCAGUAAAAC
rnacentral:rRNA from 1 species